rnacentral:rRNA from 1 species
GACGAACGCUGGCGGCGUGCUUAACACAUGCAAGUCGAACGGAAAGGCCCUGCUUGCGGGGUACUCGAGUGGGGAACGGGGGAGUAACACGCGGGUGAACUGCCCUCCACUUCGGGAUAAGCCUGGGAGACAGGGUCUAUUACAGGAUAGAAGACAUUCUGAGUGUGAUGGUUGGAUAGUUUUGUCGGUGUGGGAUGGGCGCGCGGCCUAUCAGCUUGUUGGUGGGGUAGUGGCCUACCAAGGCGGCGACGGGUAGCCGGCCUGAGAGGGUGGACGGCCACAUUGGGACUGAGAUACGGCCCAGACUCCUACGGGAGGCAGCAGUGGGGAAUAUUGCACAAUGGGCGCAAGCCUGAUGCAGCGACGCCGCGUGCGGGAUGACGGCCUUCGGGUUGUAAACUCCUUUCGCUAGGGACGAAGCUUUUGUGACGGUACCUAGUUAAGAAGCACCGGCUAACUACGUG